rnacentral:misc_RNA from 1 species
UGGCUCUCGCAUCGAUGAAGAACGCAGCGAAAUGCGAUAAGUAAUGUGAAUUGCAGAAUUCAGUGAAUCAUCGAAUCUUUGAACGCACCUUGCGCCCUUUGGCUAUUCCGAAGGGCAUGCCUGUUUGAGUAUCAUGAACACCGUUUGAUCUCAAAUCAGGUAGGACUACCCGCUGA